GCUCUGAACUCAGUGUUCUUUCAACAAAAGGAAGCACAAAGAUUACAGCUAUGCUUUGUCCAAGUGAAUGGAUAAAUUCUCACUCAUCCUCUUAGAGGAAAACUGGUAACAAAUGCUCCUUUCCAAGCCAGUUUUUUAAGACCCCAAGCCAGCUUUGGACCACGGCUUCAGUAGAUGUUUGUGUGUGGAUUUAGGAUGAUCCACUCUUAACUGUUACUUGCUACAGUGUUGCUCUCCUCCCUGUCUUCGCUCAGCGUGUAGAACGGCCGAAGCUCUUUCCAAUCCUGGUAAUUCGUUAGAGGGUUUAACUUCCAAAGCAAUGUUUGACCCAACACUCCACUUCCCACUGUGAAUUCUGCUUCUUCAUUUGAGAACUGCAAAUCUCAGCUUUCUGAUGCAUCCUCAGUCACCUGUUGUUCCCAGCCCUCCGUGAGCAGGUCUGGCCAGUCCCAACAUCCUGCUGCCCCUUGCUCUUUGCAAGUGCCUGAUGUGGACAUGGCCCGCUUCCAGCCUCCAGAACCAUGUUUCUGCUCUUCUGUUACUAGGGAAGAUCCAGUAAAUUUCAGCUCUUCUUUCACCAUUAUUUAUUCAUUAAAACAAACUUAUGAGGCAAGGUCGUGCCUUCUCAUAUCAGAAGUGUGCAAUCCGGCCAAAAAGAGCAUCCAGACUUAGAGUCCAGAGAAAUUGACUGAGUAGGCAUUGGGUCCUCGGUUGUGUCUCCAGGAUCAUCGUUGCCUGCCCCAUCACCAUCAAAGGAGCCUCUCAGCUGCAGUGGUGGAUCCAGCCCAUCCAGUGGUCCACCUGGGAGGUCUCAGCCAAGCUAUCUCAACACACUCCUCUGCUUGGAAUUGGUACUAUGUAUUAUCUUUGUUUUAGGAUGUAGGGUAGGAACUGAGUCUAUUAAUGUUUUUCUCAACACUGUAUUCCCAGGCCUAAUAAGGCUAGUAGGUGCAGUAAUAACCUGUUGUUAGAGCAAAAAAGAUGGCAUAAGUUGUCUCCCUUGUUGUUUGAGCCUCUUUGAAACUUUUCAUUGGUAGUGAACACAAAAAGGAUUAAAGCUCUGCCUACCAACAUCUCUGCCACAAGAGACUGGCCCCCACUGUGAGAAUGCUCUGCCUGAUCUCUGAAGAUUCACAGGCUUCCAGGCACGAUCAUAUCUCUUCUAAGUCCUGCACUUACCUGAGGUCAAAAGCCUUUAAAUUGGUACAGGUGGCCGAGUUGGGAUACAACAAAAUGCAUUCAGACAAUCCGAUCCUGUGAUCUGGCAAAAUGCAAAACAUUAUAGCCACUUACUAAAAACUGGGUAACAUUGUGCAGAAACUCAGGGGACAGAUACAAAUGAUUGUUUGUCCAUAUUGAUUUGAUUCCUGUAAGCUAAUGAAGAAAUUACCUUGUGACAUCAAAGACCUAGUACUCAAUAAAAAGAGAAAACAUUCAUUUAGGAA
ensembl:lncRNA novel transcript